rnacentral:rRNA from 1 species
CAGUCGCCGCGGGAAUACGAAGGGUGCAAGCGUUAAUCGGAAUUACUGGGCGCAAAGCGUGCGUAGGCGGUGAGUUAAGUCUGUUGUGAAAUCCCCGAGCUCAACCUGGGAAUGGCAGUGGAUACUGGCUCGCUAGAGUGUGUCAGAGGAUGGUGGAAUUCCCGGUGUAGCGGUGAAAUGCGUAGAGAUCGGGAGGAACAUCAGUGGCGAAGGCGGCCAUCUGGGACAACACUGACGCUGAGGCACGAAAGCGUGGGGAGCAAACAGGAUUAGAUACCCCCGUAGUCCCUGUCUCUUAUAC